rnacentral:rRNA from 1 species
CCUACGGGUGGCAGCAGUGAGGAAUAUUGGUCAAUGGACGAGAGUCUGAACCAGCCAAGUAGCGUGAAGGAUGACUGCCCUAUGGGUUGUAAACUUCUUUUAUAUGGGAAUAAAAUGUUCCACGUGUGGGAUUUUGUAUGUACCAUAUGAAUAAGGAUCGGCUAACUCCGUGCCAGCAGCCGCGGUAAUACGGAGGAUCCGAGUGUUAUCCGGAUUUAUUGGGUUUAAAGGGAGCGUAGGUGGAUUGUUAAGUCAGUUGUGAAAGUUUGCGGCUCAACCGUAAAAUUGCAGUUGAAACUGGCAGUCUUGAGUACAGUAGAGGUGGGCGGAAUUCGUGGUGUAGCGGUGAAAUGCUUAGAUAUCACGAAGAACUCCGAUUGCGAAGGCAGUUCACUGGACUGCAACUGACACUGAGGCUCGAAAGUGUGGGUAUCAAACAGGAUUAGAUACCCUUGUAGUC